rnacentral:rRNA from 1 species
AGAGUUUGAUUAUGGCUCAGGACGAACGCUGGCGGCGUGCUUAAUACAUGCAAGUCGAACGAAGCCUAGUCUUUAGUUACUAUAGACGAAAGCUUAGUGGCGGACGGGUGAGUAACGCGUGGAGAAUCUGCCCUCAAGACCGGGAUAACAGAGCGAAAGUUCUGCUAAAACCGGAUAUGCUCUGAGAGCCGCAUGGUUUAAAGAGGAAAACGUUAGUGCUUGAGGAUGGCUCCGCGUCCCAUUAGCUAGUUGGUAAGGUAACGGCUUACCAAGGCGACGAUGGGUAGCCGGCCUGAGAGGGUGACCGGCCACACUGGGACUGAGACACGGCCCAGACUCCUACGGGAGGCAGCAGUAGGGAAUUUUCCGCCAAUGGGCGAAAGCCUGACGGAGCAACGCCGCGUGAAGGAUGAAGGCCUUCGGGUCGUAAACUUUUGUCUUUGGGGACGAUAAUGACGGUACCCAAGGAGGAAGCCCCGGCUAACUACGUGCCAGCCGCCGC